AGGCUCAGAUAAUCGAUUAUCUGGCCAUAAAUUGCAGAAACGUUUUAUUUUCUGGCAGUUUAGUGAGGACAUAAUGUAAGAAACGUUUUUCAUGAUUAAUGAAAUGUCUUAAGUAUUAAGUUUUUAGAUUUUUUAAUUGUACAUUAAUAAUAUGUCAAUUAGUAUUCAGUUUUUUAAUUAUUAAUGUUUUGUACAUUAAUAUUCAGUUUUAAUAUUAAUUGUUUU
rnacentral:lncRNA from 1 species